rnacentral:rRNA from 1 species
AAUGAACGUUGGCGGCGUGGAUUAGGCAUGCAAGUCGUACGCAUAGCUUCGGCUAUGAGUGGCGCAAGGGUGAGUAAUGCGAAGGUAACCAACCCUGGUGUUGGGCAUAGCCGCGGGAAACUGCGGGUAAUUCCCAGCGACGUCACGAGAUGGCAUCAUCUUGUGACCAAAGGUGUGAUUCCGCUCUAGGACAGGCCUUCGUGGUAUUAGGUAGUUGGUGAGGUAACGGCUCACCAAGCCGACGAUGCCUACCGGGUGUGAGAGCAUGACCCGGCACACUGGAACUGAGACACUAGUCCAGACACCUACGGUGGCUGCAGUCGAGAAUCUUCGGCAAUGGGCGAAAGCC